GUGCGGCGAUAAGGAGGCUUGGAUUCCUCGUUCUCGUGCUUCUUCUUCUUCUAGGGCUCGCGGAGGGAGAUGGAGCAGACGCCGCUGUUCCUUCGCAAUAGCUACUGGGUCUUGAGACACGGGAAGAGCGUCCCCAACGAGAAGGGCCUCAUCGUCUCGUCCUUGGAGAACGGCACACUUGAAAAGUUUGGAUUAGCUUCUGAAGGUUUCAACCAAGCACGAUUGGCUGGAGAGUUGCUGUUGAAGAUUUCUAUGCAGGAAAUCGACGAGAAGAAGAUUCUUCUAGAAAAUGUUCGAAUAUGCUAUUCUCCAUUCUCGAGAACUACUGAUACUGCUAAAGUGGUUGCUGAUGUUUUAGGCAUCUCAUUUGACAGUUGUCAGUGUAAGGCAAUGCUUGAGCUUCGAGAGCGUUACUUUGGACCAUCAUUUGAGCUCUUAUCUCAUGAUAAAUAUGCAGAGAUAUGGUCAUUAGAUGAGAAGGAUCCUUUCUUGCCACCUGAAGGUGGAGAAAGUGUUGCAGAUGUUGUCUCUCGACUUGCAGUUGCUCUGGCAGCAAUAGAGGCGGAGUUUCAGGGAUGCACAGUCCUUGUUGUCAGUCAUGGUGAUCCACUUCAAAUCCUGCAAACUAUACUUCGUGCAACCAAGAAACUUGCAUCAUCCAAUGGGAUUGAUAUUUUAUCGAGAACUAAGGAAAUUAUGGUGCAUUCUAUAUUAUCCCAACACCGAAAGUUUGCCCUGCAAACUGGAGAGCUACGCCCAAUCAUUUGACUUCGUAUUAUUGUCAGAUAUGGAGAAGUAUGCUGUAUGCUAAUCAUCAAGGACUAUGAAGUGUUAACAACUGGAGCAUUUUUUGUCCAAGUCUUAACAACACGCAAAUUGAUGCCUUAUACUUUGUUCUAUUUCUGUGAUUCAAUGCCUUUCAAAUUGACUUGAAUUAAGGGCCAUGUCUUGGUCAGAUUGAUUCCUGCACUGUCUGUUGGGAAGAGCUUUCAAUUGGAGGGAGGUGUCUUUGGUUUCCAGUGGUGGUAUUAACACUCGAUGCACUUUUCAUAAUGGAUUCAGAUGGGCUAAGAGCCUUGUUUCUGACAUGUAACAAUAACUUGUUUAUGGAAAUACAUAUCUGAGUUUUCAACAUACUGAUAUGGAAUACAUAACAUAAUUCUAGUGAACUAUUUUUCUCA